GUGCAGCAGUCGAGAAAACUUCACAAUGUGCGAAAGCACGAUGAGGGAAUCCCAAGUGCUUGCACGUAAGUGUAAGCUGUUUCUCUGUCUAAAACGCAGAGAGAGUAAGGGCUGGGUAAGACGGGUGCCAGCCGCCGCGGUAAUACCUGCAGCUCGAGUGGUGACCGUUAUUAUUGGGCCUAAAACGUCCGUAGCCGGUUUAAUAAAUGCCUGGGUAAAUCGGACCGCUUAACGGUUCGAAUCCCGGGUAGACUGUUAAACUUGAGACCGGGAGAAGUUAGAGGUACUCCUGGGGUAGAGGUGAAAUUCUGUAAUCCUAGGGGACCACCAGUGGCGAAGGCGUCUAACUAGAACGGGUCUGACGGUGAGGGACGAAGGCUAGGGUCGCGAACCGGAUUAGAUACCCCUGUAGU
rnacentral:rRNA from 1 species